rnacentral:rRNA from 1 species
GUAGUCAUAUGCUUGUCUCAAAGAUUAAGCCAUGCAUGUCUAAGUAUAAGCAAUUAUACAGCGAAACUGCGAAUGGCUCAUUAUAUAAGUUAUCGUUUAUUUGAUAGUACUUUACUACAUGGAUAACCGUGGUAAUUCUAGAGCUAAUACAUGCUAAAAAUCCCGACUUCAGAAGGGAUGUAUUUAUUAGAUAAAACNAUGCCCUCCGGGGCUCACUGGUGAUUCAUGAUAACUCCUCGAAUCGCAUGGCCUUGCGCCGGCGAUGGUUCAUUCAAAUUUCUUCCCUAUCAACUUUCGAUGUUUGGGUAUUGGCCAAACAUGGUUGCAACGGGUAACGGAGGGUUAGGGCUCGACCCCGGAGAAGGAGCCUGAGAAACGGCUACUACAUCCAAGGAAGGCAGCAGGCGCGCAAAUUACCCAAUCCCGACACGGGGAGGUAGUGACAAUAAAUACUGAUACAGGGCUCUUUUGGGUCUUGUAAUUGGAAUGAGUACAAUUUAAAUCCCUUAACGAGGAACAAUUGGAGGGCAAGUCUGGUGCCAGCAGCC